UGGGUGUUUCUUUUUUUUUUUUACUCCGCUUGACUUUACUAGGAAAAAAAGAUGCUGUAAAAUUAGCGAUAAAUCGGUUGAGGUUAUCUGGUAACCUCUUUUGGCUGAACAAAUAUCAUUUAGGGAGUGAAAAGGGUCGUUUGGUUUGAGCUGCAAGCAGUUGUAUGAAAGGUGGAAACAAGUCCAGAAAAGGUUUGCCUCGGAACGAUAACAAAAGAGGGUCUGGUUGAUUCCUUGAUGUAGCACGUAUGUUGGUUUGCUUCUACCCUGCUCAUUUUAUUUCUCUGGCGUCCACAGGAAGAAAGCGCGCGCAAAUGUGUGUACUUUGUGGUACACACGAUCCCACAUACACGUGGCGUUACUGACAGAAAGUAAGGUGGUUGGAAGAAAGGAGAUCGUGUGGGUUGUAUUCAUUUGGGCGAGAGAUAACUAGCAAACCAAUUUUGAUGUAUAAGCGCCGUUAUUCACCCACGUCUCUAUUGCAAAAAAAAAGAUAAAUAAGAUGCUGAAUUGCUGAAUCAGUCGACCAAAUUGCUAUUGGUGAAAUAUAUACGGGGAAAUGUGAUAGGACGGAUCAGUCAACUUUUAUUCUUCAUACGACUUCGAGUUUCGCGUUUUCUUGAUAUUCAGAUUUCUUCAGAUCUUGAAUGGACAAGUAUUACCGAGGUAAAAUAUCGAUUGGAAAAUACAUGGGCAGUACAUUAUUAUGAGUUGGAAGUUGUGUUAACAGCAGACUUCUGUCGUUCGGACAUAUUUCUACCACUGGUACACUGGUAUAACACUUUUCUACAGAAAGUUUAUGGGUGAAUGCUAAUUGGAAAAGGAUCACUUCAUUUGAUUUCGCCGACAUUUCAUCGAGUGGAGACAAUCAUUUAAGUACUAAUUUAUAUAAUCUUUUGUUCAGAUUUUGAACUAAGAAUUCUCUUGCACACUGGAUGAAAGUUUUAACGGAGAUGACUCGGGGCGUUCCCUCGCAGAUUCCGCGGGUGCUGUUUGUAAUUUCAUUGGUGCUCCUCGUGUGCCUACCCGGGAUCAGCCUCGCAGAUAGGGCUUGUUGCCGUCGGACAGAAGGCUGCAACCUCCGAACCGAUUGUACGUGUAAGAUUCUCGAGAUUAGGUGCAGAGACCCGACCAUUGGCAUCCAAUAUUAUGGUAAAAGGUCCCCAGUCAGGUCAGCAUCGUCAUAUCAUGAUUCAUUUACACCCAUUCUACAGAGGAUAGCAGAAUUGGCAUCACUGCAACAGGAUGAUGAAAGGUGGAAAAGGAAAAGAUGGUCUUCUUCAAAUAGUCGGUACCCUUUUUAUGAUUACGACCUGAGGCCAUUUUGACACUGGUAUAGGCCUAUGCUUUCAUUUUCUUUGAAUUAUUUUCAUUGUUGCUUUAUACAUAAGAAAACAAAAUGUAAACUACAAUUGAGAUACUAUUUUCUGAAUGAAUAUUUACUAGUCAAUUAUUAUCUUUUGUGAAACGCCAAAUUCUAGCAGACUUAGUGAUUUACUUACGAAUAUUGAAGUGAUCCGAUAGUUGCUUUUGGUACUUCGAAAGAUCUGUUGAAUUGUAAUAAGAGAUCUUAUCGAAGAUCCAACGUUCUUAUUGUCCAUAUUGAAAAGUACUGAUAUAGAAUCCUGUAAAUGCAUUUUUUGUGUGCUUGAUUUUUUUCUUGUUUUAAACUUGAAUAAUUCAUUUCUUUCUAGAAUAGAAGCUGCCUUGGUGAAUGUAAUUCACGUAGAUGAACAACAAAUCCAAAUAUUAGUUUAGAUAUAAAUGUUGUCAUUUAUCCUGUAGCAUUAGAAUGUCCUUUAAAUACGUUGAUCAACUUUCUAUUCAUUAAUGCUUAUUAUGAUCAUUAGGACAUUGUGUUGUCAAUGUAUAUAAUUCCCUGAAGUAUCACCGUUUCUAAAUGAAAAUCAUCAUUGCAGCAUUUCAAUUCCAGCGACUUGAGUUAAAUAAAUAAGGUUAAAGGCACUUAACACCGAUAAUAAUCUACAAUUGUUGUUGAAUUUAGUUACGUUUUAAAAAUAGAUAUUUCGCUUGAUUAUAGAUCGGGUCAGUAAACUGAUGGUCAAUCAGUUACUAUCAAGAAAUAAAUUCCCACACUUACAGUCAAAUUCCAAUGAACUAUUUUUAAAUAAGAAUAUUUCAAAUGUUUCUUUUUAAAUACACCGAAAAUUGUGAUAUCCCUAAAAUGAAUGAAAUAUAUGUUUUAAGCGUCGAUGUAUCCUACAAUCAAAGAUGCCUGGAAAAAAUCCUGAUAAUGUCUUUACACGAUAAACUGCUAUUCUUCCCCCUUUUCACAUUUUCCUAACAAAUUAUUGUCGUUGUUUUAUUCACUGAUUUAGAAAGUAUUCGUCAUCUUAUCAAAAAGUCGCUUUAACUUUUUUGUUACUAUGUCGAUGUCAUUCUAUCAUUCACCAAUGUUUCCCUUUUUGUUUCCAUAUUGGAGUUUAUUAACAAGGUUUGGAUGCUUUUUAUUGAACGAAUACAUAUAAGAAUGUGUUUUUCAGAUUAUAGAGGCCAGUCGACAAGACAUACAGAAAGAUUUAUACGUCGACAUUGUCGUAUAGGGAUAGUGCUAGAUCACAGAAAUAUUGUUUUCGAGAUACAAUACCAUUAUUGAUUAGAAUUUUCAUUGAUUUUGUUAUUAAAACGACGGUAUUGUGAUUACUAGAAUUUACCAUAAUUGAAAAAAAAACUAAAUUGGUAGUCACAUUCGGCAAAGAAAUACUUUGUAAAUAUGUUUUUGGUUGUUGUCAUGAUUGUGCACUUAUUUGGGCGUUCAGGUACUCUUAUGCUACACUGCACGAAUGAAAUAGUCAAACCUGAUUAGCAUUAAUGUCUAAUUGCCAGCAUGCAAAUGGUAAUUCAAUUUGGUUCUUUACGACGGUCAAGGUUAGUAAGCAACUUGCCCACAAUUCCAAUAAAUCCUACAUGCUAUCUAUAAAGCAAAACUGGCCACUUAAGGCGGUCAUUUGUGACUGGUUGGUGAUGCACGUUUGUCAGUAGUCUUUAUCGGGGUUAUCUCUUACACGCAAAAACCUGAUUGAACAUCCAUUUAAGGAAGAAGAUAACUCCCCAAGGGGAAUCACUCUUCCUUUCAACGAGACGAAAAGUAUUUGUGACAAAAUCAAAGAAUAGGUCAAUUUAGAUGGGUAACAAUCCCACGAAAUAUGUGUUGCGUGAUAUUGUGACCGCGUUUGUGAAAGUACAGAAUCGAUAUACAUCAAUUAUAGUCACAUAAAGUUUGAGGCUUGUACUGAAAAGAUAAAAAAUGACGUAGGCAGGUUCUUAAUCCAUUCAAGAGCUGUAAUGGCUGUUUCUGUUUUCGUAACAAAAUGUACAGUGUCAAUAAAAUUCAACAAUGUGUUUGAACUAUUCUAUUUUCACACUAUUACGUUUCAAGAAAUAGCCAUAUUGCUUGUCAGUAGGAAAUGAAAUUUAAACUUUCGAUGACUAUUUGUAUCUAAAAUCGUCUCAGAGCUGUAUAAUUUAAAAUUCAAGAAUUCAGUUUAGCGGACUUAUGCAAUUAAAAAAAAAACAGGAUGUAGUAUUGGUAUUUUGAAGUAUAGUGUUAAGAAGAUUUCUAGUAAGGCAAUUGUGUUAUAAAUUAAACAUAUAUCAUACAAUGUACAUGUAUAACUUGUGAGAACUGCUUAAUAAAUGCCGUUGAAUUCAUGAAGGACAUAUUUUUUUUCUAUAAGUAAAACAUGAAAUAUGUUUCACAUAAAUCCUCCGAAGGUGUGAUAUACUUAGACACCAAAGUUUAAUAUAGUCACGAGGAUUGUGCAGGUAUAGAGUAAAUCUGAAUUACAAAGAUAAAUAUACAUUAUCAGCGGUCAGUGGUUUUCGUAUGGAAAUUUAUUUAAAAACACCUAUUCUAGAUCUACGAAAUAGAAGUUUGCUUAAUCAUUUUUAGACAUAACUUCAAUUUGCAUUUGCACGGUUGUGGGUUUUGUGAUAUACGUUUAUUUGGGCGUGUGUUUGAUUGGGUGUGCAAGCGUGUGUGGGUGGGUGCGUGAGUGUGAGCAAAUGCAAGUAUAUUUACAUGUGCAUCACUUCAAUGAAUAGCAGAUACUUUGGGUUUUUUUCCGUCUAUCAGUAUCUGCAUGAACAAGAAGAAUACCUUAGCAGUAUUGUAUGUUUGGAACUAUUUGGAAUUCUUCUAUUUCAAAUGUAGUGAAAAUGUUCAUUCAUUUGUGUUGUAUUUCAUUUUGUUCUGGAGAUAUUGGAUUUAUAUAUAUACUUAAACAGAACAUGUUUGAAGACAUUUGGGGAAGAGUUUGUAGAGUAAAUGCGUGCCUAACAAGGACCUUGUAAAUAAAAUGUGAUUUUUGCAAACGUUAAUCCUCCAAAUAGCAUUAAAUUA